CCUACGGGAGGCAGCAGUAGGGAAUCUUCCACAAUGGGCGAAAGCCUGAUGGAGCAACGCCGCGUGGGUGAAGAAGGUCUUCGGCUCGUAACACUCUGUUGUUAGAGAAGAAAGUUCGUGAGAGUAACUGUUCACGUUUCGACGGUAUCUACUUAGAAAGCCACGGCUAACUACGUGCCAGCAGCCGCGGUAAUACGUAGGUGGCAAGCUUUGUCCGGAUUUAUUGGGCGUAAAGGGAAUGCAGGCGGUCUGUUAAGUCUGAUGUGAAAGCCUUCGGCUUAACCGGAGAAGUGCAUGGGAAACUGGUAGACGUGAGUGCAGAAGAGGAGAGUGGAACUCCAUGUGUAGCGGUGAAAUGCGUAGAUAUAUGGAAGAACACCAGUGGCGAAAGCGGCUCUCUGGUCUGUAACUGACGCUGAGGUUCGAAAGCAUGGGUAGCAAACAGGAUUAGAUACCCCAGUAGUC
rnacentral:rRNA from 1 species